rnacentral:rRNA from 1 species
AACGAACGCUGGCGGCAGGCUUAACACAUGCAAGUCGAACGCAUCCUUCGGGGUGAGUGGCAGACGGGUGAGUAACGCGUGGGAACGUGCCCUUCAGUUCGGGAUAACCCAGGGAAACUUGGGCUAAUACCGGAUACGUGCGAGAGCAGAAAGAUUUAUUGCUGAAGGAUCGGCCCGCGUCUGAUUCGCUAGUUGGUGGGGUAAUGGCCCACCAAGGCGACGAUCAGUAGCUGGUCUGAGAGGAUGAUCAGCCACAUUGGGACUGAGACACGGCCCAAACUCCUACGGGAGGCAGCAGUGGGGAAUAUUGGACAAUGGGCGCAAGCCUGAUCCAACCAUGCCGCGUGAGUGAUGAAGGCCUUAGGGUUGUAAAGCUCUUUCGUCCGGGACGAUAAUGACGGUACCGGAAGAAGAAGCCCCGGCUAACCUCGUGCCAGCCGCCGCGGUAA